AGUGAACGCUGGCGGUAGGCCUAACACAUGCAAGUCGAACGGCAGCACAGUAAGAGCUUGCUCUUACGGGUGGCGAGUGGCGGACGGGUGAGGAAUACAUCGGAAUCUACUUUUUCGUAGGGGAUAACGUAGGGAAACUUACGCUAAUACCGCAUACGACCUACGGGUGAAAGCAGGGGAUCUUCGGACCUUGCGCGAUUGAAUGAGCCGAUGUCGGAUUAGCUAGUUGGCGGGGUAAAGGCCCACCAAGGCGACGAUCCGUAGCUGGUCUGAGAGGAUGAUCACCCACACUGGAACUUAGACACGGUCCUGACUCCUACGGGAGGCAGCAGUGGGGAAUAUUGGACAAUGGGCGCAAGCCUUAUCCAGCCAUACCGCGUGGGUGAAGAAGGCCUUCGGGUUUUAAAGCCCUUUUGUUGGGAAAGAAAAGCAGCAGGUUAAUACCCCGCUGUUCUGACGGUACCCAAAGAAUAAGCACCGGCUAACUUCGUG
rnacentral:rRNA from 1 species